GGGGGUGAAACGGCUUCGACGGGGUAUCGAAAGGCUUUGACGGCGACCCGGCAUGAGCGCUGCCGCAAUAGGCUCAUACUUACAAUUGCCAACGACGAAAUCUACGGCGAAGCUCUCGCCGCCGCCUAAAACGGCAGCGAAGCGGGGCCCAGACCUGGGCCCGGCAACAGAAGCAUAAAAACAGGGUCAAGCCGGAAUGAUGAAACCGCCGGUCUAAAUCCAAGGUUUCCCAGUUCUCCGAGGUAACGGGGGUCCAUGGGCCAGCCGGCUGCAACGGCCCAAGGACACUCAGGCCGGCAAAAUGGUCGUGACUCCUUCAGGUUCAGUACGUAUCUCGGACCCGGGUUCGACUCCCGGCACCUCCACCA
rnacentral:tmRNA from 1 species